rnacentral:tRNA from 1 species
CGCCAUCUUGGUAAGAUGGAGGU